CAAACGGCCCUUCUCAGGGCCACAACUAUACUUCUAGAAAGAGUUAU
rfam:Aedes albopictus isolate Foshan contig82858, whole genome shotgun sequence.